CACUAUCGUUAACUGAAUACAUAGGUUAACGAGGCGAACCGGGGGAACUGAAACAUCUAAGUACCCCGAGGAAAAGAAAUCAACCGAGAUUCCCCCAGUAGCGGCGAGCGAACGGGGAGCAGCCCAGAGUCUGAAUCAGCUUGUGUGUUAGUGGAACGGUCUGGAAAGUCCGACGGUACAGGGUGAUAGUCCCGUACACCAAAAUGCACAGGUUGUGAACUCGAAGAGUAGGGCGGGACACGUGGUAUCCUGUCUGAAUAUGGGGGGACCAUCCUCCAAGGCUAAAUACUCCUGACUGACCGAUAGUGAACCAGUACCGUGAGGGAAAGGCGAAAAGAACCCCGGCGAGGGGAGUGAAAAAGAACCUGAAACCGUGUACGUACAAGCAGUGGGAGCACCUUCGGGUGUGACUGCGUACCUUUUGUAUAAUGGGUCAGCGACUUAUAUUCUGUAGCAAGGUUAACCGUAUAGGGGAGCCGCAGGGAAACCGAGUCUUAACUGGGCGUUAAGUUGCAGGGUAUAGACCCGAAACCCGGUGAUCUAGCCAUGGGCAGGUUGAAGGUUGGGUAACACUAACUGGAGGACCGAACCGACUAAUGUUGAAAAAUUAGCGGAUGACUUGUGGCUGGGGGUGAAAGGCCAAUCAAACCGGGAGAUAGCUGGUUCUCCCCGAAAGCUAUUUAGGUAGCGCCUCGUGAAUUCAUCUUCGGGGGUAGAGCACUGUUUCGGCUAGGGGGUCAUCCCGACUUACCAACCCGAUGCAAACUACGAAUACCGAAGAAUGUUAUCACGGGAGACACACGGCGGGUGCUAACGUCCGUCGUGAAGAGGGAAACAACCCAGACCGCCAGCUAAGGUCCCAAAGUCAUGGUUAAGUGGGAAACGAUGUGGGAAGGCACAGACAGCCAGGAUGUUGGCUUAGAAGCAGCCAUCAUUUAAAGAAAGCGUAAUAGCUCACUGGUCGAGUCGGCCUGCGCGGAAGAUGUAACGGGGCUAAACCAUGCACCGAAGCUGCGGCAGCGACACUAUGUGUUGUUGGGUAGGGGAGCGUUCUGUAAGCCUGCGAAGGUGUGCUGUGAGGCAUGCUGGAGGUAUCAGAAGUGCGAAUGCUGACAUAAGUAACGAUAAAGCGGGUGAAAAGCCCGCUCGCCGGAAGACCAAGGGUUCCUGUCCAACGUUAAUCGGGGCAGGGUGAGUCGACCCCUAAGGCGAGGCCGAAAGGCGUAGUCGAUGGGAAACAGGUUAAUAUUCCUGUACUUGGUGUUACUGCGAAGGGGGGACGGAGAAGGCUAUGUUAGCCGGGCGACGGUUGUCCCGGUUUAAGCAUGUAGGCUGAUUGUCCAGGCAAAUCCGGAUAAUCAAGGCUGAGGUGUGAUGACGAGGCACUACGGUGCUGAAGUAACAAAUGCCCUGCUUCCAGGAAAAGCCUCUAAGCAUCAGGUAACAUCAAAUCGUACCCCAAACCGACACAGGUGGUCAGGUAGAGAAUACCAAGGCGCUUGAGAGAACUCGGGUGAAGGAACUAGGCAAAAUGGUGCCGUAACUUCGGGAGAAGGCACGCUGGUGUGUAGGUGAAGUCCCUGCGGAUGGAGCUGAGACCAGUCGAAGAUACCAGCUGGCUGCAACUGUUUAUUAAAAACACAGCACUGUGCAAACACGAAAGUGGACGUAUACGGUGUGACGCCUGCCCGGUGCCGGAAGGUUAAUUGAUGGGGUUAUCCGUAAGGAGAAGCUCUUGAUCGAAGCCCCGGUAAACGGCGGCCGUAACUAUAACGGUCCUAAGGUAGCGAAAUUCCUUGUCGGGUAAGUUCCGACCUGCACGAAUGGCGUAAUGAUGGCCAGGCUGUCUCCACCCGAGACUCAGUGAAAUUGAACUCGCUGUGAAGAUGCAGUGUACCCGCGGCAAGACGGAAAGACCCCGUGAACCUUUACUAUAGCUUGACACUGAACAUUGAGCCUUGAUGUGUAGGAUAGGUGGGAGGCUUUGAAGCGUGGACGCCAGUCUGCGUGGAGCCAACCUUGAAAUACCACCCUUUAAUGUUUGAUGUUCUAACGUUGGCCCCUUACCGGGGUUGCGGACAGUGUCUGGUGGGUAGUUUGACUGGGGCGGUCUCCUCCCAAAGCGUAACGGAGGAGCACGAAGGUUAGCUAAUCCUGGUCGGACAUCAGGAGGUUAGUGCAAUGGCAUAAGCUAGCUUGACUGCGAGCGUGACGGCGCGAGCAGGUGCGAAAGCAGGUCAUAGUGAUCCGGUGGUUCUGAAUGGAAGGGCCAUCGCUCAACGGAUAAAAGGUACUCCGGGGAUAACAGGCUGAUACCGCCCAAGAGUUCAUAUCGACGGCGGUGUUUGGCACCUCGAUGUCGGCUCAUCACAUCCUGGGGCUGAAGUAGGUCCCAAGGGUAUGGCUGUUCGCCAUUUAAAGUGGUACGCGAGCUGGGUUUAGAACGUCGUGAGACAGUUCGGUCCCUAUCUGCCGUGGGCGCUGGAGAAUUGAGGGGGGCUGCUCCUAGUACGAGAGGACCGGAGUGGACGCAUCACUGGUGUUCGGGUUGUCAUGCCAAUGGCACUGCCCGGUAGCUAAAUGCGGAAGAGAUAAGUGCUGAAAGCAUCUAAGCACGAAACUUGCCCCGAGAUGAGUUCUCCCUGAGACUUUAAGUCUCCUGAAGGAACGUUAAAGACGAUGACGUUGAUAGGCCGGGUGUGUAAGCGCAGCGAUGCGUUGAGCUAACCGGUACUAAUGAACCGUGAGGCUUAACCUU
rnacentral:rRNA from 2 species